rnacentral:rRNA from 1 species
GCUAUAGUUAUGAAAUAUUAUUCAAGUUGUUUGGUAUCUGGUUCUCUAAAAGAUUUAAUUGGUUGUAGUUUUAUUUGGUCAAUAAGUAGGGAUUAGCUUAUUUAUUGUUUAUAUACAUUUAUAAGGUAGAUUUGUUUGUGAAGUUGAUAGUGCUUUUUUGUAAGGAGUUAUUAUGAGACAGGGGUUUUAUAUUAUUGUUUUAAAGUUGUGUAACUAUUGGGGUUGGCUAGAUAAUUUUUUCUUUUGCGAAAUAAUGAUUAUAUUAGUAAUAUUUUAUUUAUUUUUAUAAGUGAAAUUAAGGGAGUUUGGUAGUGAUUGAAUUAAUUUUUAAUUAGGGAGGAUGAAUUCGGCAAGUUAGUUUUUGACUGUUUAGCAAAAACAUUGUUUUUUGUAGGAGUAAAAAAUAAGUUCUGUCCACUGCUAUUAGGUGAAGGGCUGCAGUAUUUUGACUGUAUGAAGGUAGCAUAAUCAUUAGCUUUUUAAUUGGGGGCUGGUAUGAAGGUGAAACAGGGAUUGUCUGUGUUUUCUUUAUUUAUUGAAUUUUAUUUCUGUGUGAAAAAUCGUGGUUAAAUUAGAGGGACAAGAAGACCCUAAUAAGUUUUAUUUUUUUGCUUAAUGAUAAUAUAGGCGUAUAUUAAUUUGAUUGAAGUGAGGGGGUUUGGCUGGGGCGGCUAUUUAUUUAACAUAAGUAAUUUUUUAACUUUAUUUG